AAGAAGUCAUGUUUAUGUAAUAGCUAGCAAUGGACAUGAUCGAAUUGUAAUGUAAUGUCUUAAUCAGUAUAGUUAUGUAAUGAGAUGAUGUAUAUGGAUGUUAGAGGUGUGCUUGACCAUAGAUAGUUGUUAUCCCUUUCGUUACAUGAUCUUAGAGACUUUUAUGAUGUUUAUGUAAACCAACUCAACAUAUGCUAUGCCACCCAUUGGGGGCACUGUUGAG
rnacentral:lncRNA from 1 species